rnacentral:lncRNA from 1 species
AAAAAAUUAAAAUUAAAAAUCUCCCAGCAUGCAUCAACCACCCAGACAAAAUAUCCCAUUAUAUGAGGGUCAUAAUGGGGGUACCUUAAUGACGAAUAACGGUAAAAAGUCUUGCCAAAUGAUGUUAACGAUAAUUUUUUGAGUAUGACUAUAAAAUGUACACUUUCUUUUAGAAGAUAAAAACAUGGACUGAUUUUAACGAAUCACGUUAAUUUUUUUCUAAAAAUGAAGGUAACGAUAAUUAUUUAAGACCUCUGACAAAUCACGAUAAGGAUAUUUUAAUGUAUCACAGCAAAAUUUUAACCAAUUUGACGCUAACGGUAGAAGGAAAUGACUGUUAGACGCCUGAUGUAAAAGGACAUUACUACCCUCUUAUAUGAAUCGAUCAAGACAAAAAUCUUCUACCCUUCUUCAAACAUUAACAAAACUCUCAUAAUACAUAUAGAGGUAAAAAAUCAAUUGUUAUUUAUGUGAAAUUGUUAUUUAUUAUAGCAUUGUUGUAUGUAUUGCUUUUAAACUAUAAAUCUUGUUUUGAAAAAA